GACGAACGCUGGCGGCGUGCUUAACACAUGCAAGUCGAACGGAAAGGCCCUGCUUUUGUGGGGUGCUCGAGUGGCGAACGGGUGAGUAACACGUGAGUAACCUGCCCUUGACUUUGGGAUAACUUCAGGAAACUGGGGCUAAUACCGGAUAGGAGCGCCUGCUGCAUGGUGGGGGUUGGAAAGUUUCGGCGGUUGGGGAUGGACUCGCGGCUUAUCAGCUUGUUGGUGGGGUAGUGGCUUACCAAGGCUUUGACGGGUAGCCGGCCUGAGAGGGUGACCGGCAACAUUGGGACUGAGAUACGGCCCAGACUCCUACGGGAGGCAGCAGUGGGGAAUAUUGCACAAUGGGCGGAAGCCUGAUGCAGCCACGCCGCGUGCGGGAUGACGGCCUUCGGGUUGUAAACCGCUUUCGCCUGUGACGAAGCGUGAGUGACGGUAAUGGGUAAAGAAGCACCGGCUAACUACGUG
rnacentral:rRNA from 1 species